UACGUAGGUGGCAAGCGUUGUCCGGAUUUACUGGGCGUAAAGAGCGCGCAGGCGGUCGUUCAAGUCGCGUGUGAAAGCCCCCGGCUCAACUGGGGAGGGUCACGCGAUACUGAUCGACUCGAAGGCAGGAGAGGGUAGUGGAAUUCCCGGUGUAGUGGUGAAAUUCGUAGAUAUCGGGAGGAACACCAGUGGCGAAGGCGGCGAUCUGGGAAGAUACUGACGCUGAGGUGCGAAAGCGUGGGGAGCAAACAGG
rnacentral:rRNA from 1 species